UGAAGACGGAUUACCCAAACCUUUCCCUUCCCUGCUGCACUAGAAGCCAGGAAUAUCCUGUUGCUUCAGUCUGAAAACGGAACAGUUUAAAAAUCACGAGGAGGUGAGCAAAGAACCUGCUGUGCCCCUGGAUUCUGCAUUUACCACUUUGCUAAGAGAGCCUAUGAGAGAGGAAGCAAUACCCUACUGGAAGGUGGUGUUCAGACAAAAUUGGCUUCCUGGCUCCCACCUGACCAGCUUUUGUUGGGAGUAAAGCAUGUGCUGUUAUACCUGAAAUCCACAGUGGAGAACUUCAGCAGGCUUGGUAAAACUUUGGGUCCUCAGCUUGUUGAUCUCUGUGUGGACCUGCUGAGCAUCUUGUUGUGCCGGGACAAUGAAAUAAAGCUGGAGCAGCAGCAGAAGCAGGAGGAGCAUCAGGCUGAUGGGAUCUCUUCAUGGAUGAGAGCCUCUGAUGACAGAA